AUUAAGCAUAUCAAUAAGCGGAGGAAAAGAAACCAACAGGGAUUGCCCUAGUAACGGCGAGUGAAGCGGCAACAGCUCAAAUUUGAAAUCUGGCCCUAGCGGUCCGAGUUGUAAUUUGUAGAGGAUGCUUUAGGUGCGGUGCCUUCCGAGUUCCCUGGAACGGGACGCCAGAGAGGGUGAGAGCCCCGUACGGUUGGCCACCUACCCUAUAUAUAGCUCCUUCGACGAGUCGAGUAGUUUGGGAAUGCUGCUCUAAAUGGGAGGUAAAUUUCUUCUAAAGCUAAAUACCGGCCAGAGACCGAUAGCGCACAAGUAGAGUGAUCGAAAGAUGAAAAGCACUUUGAAAAGAGGGUUAAAUAGCACGUGAAAUUGUUGAAAGGGAAGCGUUUGCGACCAGACUUUUUCCAGGCGGAUCAUCCGGUGUUCUCACCGGUGCACUUCGCCUGGCUGAGGCCAGCAUCGGUUUCCUUAGGGGGAUAAAGGCUUGGGGAACGUAGCUCUCUAGGGAGUGUUAUAGCCCCUCGCGUAAUACCCCUCGGGGGACCGAGGAACGCGCUCUGCAAGGAUGCUGGCGUAAUGGUCGUCAACGACCCGUCUUGAAACACGGACCAAGGAGUCGAACAUUUAUGCGAGUGUUUGGGUGUUAAACCCUCACGCGUAAUGAAAGUGAACGGAGGUGAGAGCCCAUGGGUGCAUCAUCGACCGAUCCUGAUGUCUUCGGAUGGAUUUGAGUAAGAGCAUAGCUGUUCGGACCCGAAAGAUGGUGAACUAUGCGUGGAUAGGGUGAAGCCAGAGGAAACUCUGGUGGAGGCUCGCAGCGGUUCUGACGUGCAAAUCGAUCGUCAAAUCUGCGCAUGGGGGCGAAAGACUUAUCGAACCAUUUAGUAGCUGGUUACCGCCGAAGUUUCCCUCAGGAUAGCAGUGUUGUCUUCAGUUUUAUGAGGUAAAGCGAAUGAUUAGGGACUCGGGGGCGCUAUUUAGCCUUCAUCCAUUCUCAAACUUUAAAUAUGUAAGAAGCCCUUGUUGCUUAGUUGAACGUGGGCAUUCGAAUGUACCAACACUAGUGGGCCAUUUUUG
rnacentral:rRNA from 1 species